UGCGGAACAAUUACUAAAUACAUUCUAUAUAAUCGUACUCUAAAAGUUGUUUUUUAUUCCCUAGUGUACACUAAUCAUUAUGUUUCUAAUUUUAUUCUAUAUAACAUGACGUUAUAGUUUGUCUUGAGACAACAAAUAUAUUUUCAUUUCCGUUUUGAAUUUCUUUUUUGUACAUGAAUCUUUUAUUUUUUUUGGUAUUCCAUUCCAUAUUUCUGUUCCCGUAUAUUUUAUUGAAAAUUUUCCAUAAUUUGUUCUAUUGCCUUUUUUAUGGAUCAAAUUUGUACUUCUUGUAUUAUGCUUAUGAAUUUCGCUAUUCAAAGUAAAAUAGUUGUCAAAAAAGGUAGGUAAAUUUCCUUUUGCGUAAUCGUACAUAAAAAGGCUAAUGCAUAGUUUGUUAAGUUGCACAAUUUUUAACAGUUUUGUUUUUCGAAAAAGUGGUACCGAUUUUGCAUUAUAUGAACUUAAUGUGAUGAUUCUAACUGCUCGUUUUUGUAUUUUGAGAAUCUUUUUUAGUUUUGAGGGAUAAUUAUUUGCCCAAACUGCAUUAC